CCGCAGCAGGCGAGGCGGAGGAGGCUGCCCGCCAGCAGGCCGAGGCUGAGGAGGCUGCCCGUCAGCAGGCCGAGGCUGAGGAGGCUGCCCGUCAGCAGGCCGAGGCUGAGGAGGCUGCCCGCCAGCAGGCCGAGGCGGAGGAGGCUGCCCGCCAGCAGGCUGAGGCGGAGGAGGCUGCCCGCCAGCAGGCCGAGGCUGAGGAGGCUGCCCGCAGCAGGCCGAGGCGGAGGAGGCUGCCCGCCAGCAGGCCGAGGCGGAGGAGGCUGCCCGCCAGCAGGCCGAGGCGGAGGAGGCUGCCCGCCAGCAGGCCGAGGCGGAGGAGGCUGCCCGCCAGCAGGCCGAGGCUGAGGAGGCUGCCCGCCAGCAGGCCGAGGCGGAGGAGGCUGCCGCCAGCAGGCCGAGGCGGAGGAGGCUGCCCGCCAGCAGGCCGAGGCUGAGGAGGCUGCCCGCCAGCAGGCCGAGGCGGAGGAGGCUGCCCGCCAGCAGCGAGGCGAGGAGGCUGCCCGCCAGCAGCCGAGGCGGAGGAGGCUGCCCGCCAGCAGGCCGAGGCGGAGGAGGCUGCCCGCCAGCAGGCCGAGGCUGAGGAGGCUGCCCGCCAGCAGGCCGAGGCGGAGGAGGCUGCCCGCCAGCAGGCCGAGGCUGAGGAGGCUGCCCGCCGGCAGGCCGAGGCGGAGGAGGCUGCCCGCCAGCAGGCGAGGCGGAGGGCGGAGGAGGCUGCCCGCCAGCAGGCCGAGGCUGAGGAGGCUGCCCGCCAGCAGGCGGGCGGAGGCGGCGAGGAGGAGGCUGCCCGCCAGCAGGCCGAGGCGGAGGAGGCUGCCCGCCAGCAGACCGAGGCUGAGGAGGCUGCCCGCCAGCAGGCCGAGGCGGAGGAGGCUGCCCGCCAGCAGGCCGAGGCGGAGGAGGCUGCCCGCCAGCAGGCUGAGGCUGAGGAGGCUGCCCGCCAGCAGGCCGAGGCGGAGGAGGCUGCCGGAGUCUGUGUUUCGGCUUGUGCAACGGGUGUGAGUUAUGUGGAGGACGAGGAGCGUAGGUGCGCUGAUUCCUCGAUCGAAGAGUCCAGCGGUGUAUGUGUAGGCUUUUGUGCGCAGGGCAAGCGAAAAGGAAAGCGAAGGCGGGUGAAUUUUCCGGUGCAAUUUGUGGAGAAGCGGGUGCGUGGGUCAUCUGCUGGUGUUGCUCCGCCGAUGGCACCAACAGCUGGAGAGUCAAAAGAACAGAAACCUUCGGUGGCUGUCUUUUUUUUUGCAUUCUUGGCUCUGUUUGUGGUGUGCGGUGUUCUGCUGCGGUGAGAAAAUCUUAGCUGCUGUGUUGUUUCCCUGGGUGCACGUGGGCUGCUGCACAGCAGUCAUAAGCUGUCGACGUAGAGGUGGCGCAUGGGGUUGUGGGAAGCGUUUUUUGGUGUCGUGGUUGAAGGCCGCUGGCGUGCGUGGCGACAGAUGACAGGCGCUGGGCUUUGCAUUUGUAAAGGCCCGGCAGCUUUGGCGGUUUCUUGCUAUCGCACAGGGCAUUGCACUCUUUCUUCCCUCGUUUACUUCUUCCGCGAUCCCUAUCAUUUUGGUGUCUGCGGUUCAGAACGCUGGCCCUCCGCUGUUUGUGUGUGUGUGUCUGUGUUUAUGCCGCUCGUUUUUCUUUUCUUCCAGUUUUCACGUCAUUCGCCUCUUCCAACCUUCCGUGCUGAGUGUCUGCCUUGUUAUCGUACUUCUCUAUUCAUUGCUGCGUAUUCUUUUGCUCUACCACCCCCUUCUAUUUUUUCUUAGUUUGUGUUUCUUGUAACAUUGAGCCCCUGAUGAGUGGGGACACCCCUCACUCUGCGUGGUACCUCAGCGCCCAGCACACCGCACGCCGUAUGCGGUGUAUGCUCAGACGGCUCCCUCUCCCCCCCCUCUCCUAUCCCCUGCCAGCGCCGGAGCCCCACUUCUCGUGGUGACAAGGGUCGAGAGUGCCUACGGCGUGGCAGGGGGGGGUCUGUGCGAUGCAUGGCCACACUGAUGUGUCGGCGGUGGGGCCCUGGGUGGCGUUGCGUCGGGGUGGCCCGCGACAGCGAACACGCUUGUGCCGUCCAUGUGGUAGGCAGGGUGUCGGCGUGGCUGGAACGCAUUGCACCCGGCCCCGACUGCCGUUGCUGGUGCGGGGGGAGGGGGCCUGUGUGCCACCCCUACGGGGAUGCACAGCAGGUGGGCGCCGGCGUGACGGGUGCGGGUGUGAGGCGACCUGCAGAGCGCGGCGGUGGUGUGGAGUAUGAGGCAGGGGCCGUGCUCGGAUGGCUGAGCCGGCGCGUUGCUGUAGGGCGUGUGUGUGCAGGGCUGCUUGGCACCACGCGAUGUGCCCGUGACAGGGCCCGGCAUAGCGUGGAGUGCAGCUAAGCUCCGAUGCACCAUGGCAGAAAAGACGGGUAUACAAAUCGCAUUAGAGGGUACAGCAACAUUGAUGCUGCAGGGUAGUGGGCACAGAAACAUGUGCUGGCGUGCAGGCGCGUUGGUGUUCUGUUGCACGCGGCACCGGCCGUAGUAGCAGAGAGUUCGCUGCUUUGUUAUCUUUUUGGGUGUAAACGGGCUUCUCUCAACAUCCUUCCGCGACUUAAGCAGUGGGACUACGCUGCGAUGUUGCGGACUUAUGCGCCAGUGUCUGUGCCUCUAUCAGUGCGGAUCGAUACCUUAACGCACAUCGCAUCUCAUAUCUUUUUUGUUCUCGUCUUUGCGUGAGGGCAUGCAGUAUCAGGAGAUCGCGCUUCUCUAAGUUACACAGAGCCUUCUGAGCUCGCGCGGCAGUCCGCUUUCUCGGUCUCCAUACGCGCAACGGAAGCCACCUCUCACUGCACCGCUAUCUCCAUCAUCACUUUAGCGGUGUACCAACCUUGGCGCUUACGCCCCAUUCUUGCCGGCUCCACAUUUGACACGUUCGUGACCUUCCGGACAACGGCGCCUUGCUGCACCAUCGACACUGGCCCUCACUGCCGCCUUUGUUACGGCUUUGGUGCUGUCUACUUUCUUUCCCAUCCCUACCGUGUCUCGCACCUCAUCUUCUGUGUCUUGCUCCCCAUUUCCUUCUUGAACUGCGCGGCACGGACCUGCGCUCGCCACCUGUACCCUUCACGUGCACUCGAAACGUUCGUCUGUGCGUCAG
rnacentral:misc_RNA from 1 species